rnacentral:misc_RNA from 1 species
GAUGAAGAACGCAGCGAAAUGCGAUAAGUAAUGUGAAUUGCAGAAUUCAGUGAAUCAUCGAAUCUUUGAACGCACAUUGCGCCCGCCAGUAUUCUGGCGGGCAUGCCUGUUCGAGCGUCAUUUCAACCAUCAAGCCCCCGGCUUGUGUUGGGGACCUGCGGCUGCCGCAGGCCCUGAAAAGCAGUGGCGGGCUCGCUGUCACACCGAGCGUAGUAGCAUACAUCUCGCUCUGGGCGUGCUGUGGGUUCCGGCCGUAAAACCACCUUCAUAACCCAAGGUUGACCUCGGAUCAGGUAGGAAGACCCGCUGAACUUAAGCAUAUCAAUAAGCGGAGGA